UGGGGAAUAUUGCACAAUGGGCGAAAGCCUGAUGCAGCGACGCCGCGUGAGGGAUGACGGCCUUCGGGUUGUAAACCUCUUUCAGCAGGGAAGAAGCGAAAGUGACGGUACCUGCAGAAGAAGCGCCGGCUAACUACGUGCCAGCAGCCGCGGUAAUACGUAGGGCGCAAGCGUUGUCCGGAAUUAUUGGGCGUAAAGAGCUCGUAGGCGGUUAGUCGCGUCUGCUGUGAAAAUCUCGAGGCUCAACCUCGGGCUUGCAGUGGGUACGGGCUGACUAGAGUGCGGUAGGGGUGACUGGAAUUCCUGGUGUAGCGGUGGAAUGCGCAGAUAUCAGGAGGAACACCGAUGGCGAAGGCAGGUCACUGGGCCGCAACUGACGCUGAGGAGCGAAAGCAUGGGGAGCGAACAGGAUUAGAUACCCUGGUAGUCCAUGCCGUAAACGUUGGGCACUAGGUGUGGGG
rnacentral:rRNA from 1 species